AUAAGAAUCUGUCUGUCCCGUAAACUGCUAUUUUACAGGGCUUUUUU
rnacentral:antisense_RNA from 1 species